GAGGGUGUAACUCAGGGGUAGAGUGUGUGUUUAGCAUGCACCAGGUCCUGGGUUCAAUCCCCAGUCCCUCU
rnacentral:tRNA from 1 species